rnacentral:rRNA from 1 species
UACGAGAGCCUCGAGCGUUAUCCGGAAUUAUUGGGCGUAAAGGGUGCGUAGGUUGUUCUGUUAGUCUUUUGUCAAAGCCCCGAGCUUAACUUGGGAUCUGCGAAAGAAACGGCAGAACUUGAAAGUGCGAGAGGUGUACGGAACUCAUGGUGUAGGGGUGAAAUCCGUUGAUAUCAUGGGGAACACCAAAUGCGAAGGCAGUACACUGGCGCAUAUUUGACGCUGAAGCACGAAAGCGUGGGUAGCGAAU